rnacentral:rRNA from 1 species
AUGAAGUUCCUGGUGGAGUCGGGCGGCGCGGAGGGGAAUGCCGGGCCGACGUACCGGAACGUGCUAGCCAAGGACACCGGCCUGCUGCAGUCGCCGCCCGGUAUCGACUGCCUCUGGGACCUCUUCUGCGCUUCCGUGGAGAAGUACCCCAGCAACCCGAUGCUCGGUCGCCGGCCAGUUGUCGACGGCAAGGCCGGCGACUACGCCUGGAUGACUUACAGGGAAGUCUGCGACGUCGUGAUCAAGCUCGCCGCCUCCAUGAGCAAGUCCGGAGUCAAACAGGGUGAACGCGCUGGCAUCUAUGGUGCAAAUUGUCCGGAAUGGAUCAUCAGCAUGGAGGCUUGCAAUGCCCUCGGAGUUUGCUGCGUGCCGCUCUACGACACUCUUGGUGCUAAUGCAGUGGAAUUUAUCACCUGCCAUGCUGAACUCCUUAUUGCUUUCGUGGAAGAGAAGAAGAUUGGCGAGCUCUUGAAAACCUGUCAUGCCACUUCAAAGUAUUUGAAAACAAUCAUCAGCUUCGGAGGAGUCACAAAUGAUCAGAAAGAGGAAGCUAAGAACCAUGGGCUGUCCAUUUUCUCAUGGGAGGAAUUCCUGAUCACGGGUGGAGAUGAACCUGUUGAUCUUCCUGAAAAGAAGAAAUCCGACAUCUGCACGAUCAUGUACACAAGUGGAACAACAGGAGACCCUAAAGGUGUUAUGAUAUCAAAUGAAAACCUUCUUGUUAACCUGGCCGGUGCUGAUUCUGUCGUGCAAUCUAUUGGUGAAGCUUUUGAUCAAGACGAUGUUUAUUUGUCAUAUCUUCCACUAGCUCAUGUCUUUGAUAGAAUGUUUGAGGAAGUGUUUAUAUCUCAUGGAUCGAGAAUCGGAUUUUGGCGUGGGGAUGUCAAGUUGUUGGUUGACGAUAUUGCAGCACUAAGACCAACAGUAUUUUGUGCUGUUCCACGUGUACUCGACAGAAUAUAUUCAGGUCUUACGACCAAGAUUUCUGCUGGUGGUAUAUUAAAGAAAACCUUAUUUAAUCUUGGUUACAAGAUGAAACUAGACAGCAUGAAGAAAGGAAUUAAACAUGAGAAGGCAUCUCCAUUCUUUGACAAGUUAGUUUUCAGCAAGGUGAAAGAAAGGCUGGGUGGAAAAAUCCGUAUUAUCGUGUCUGGUGGCGCUCCUCUUGCUAUGGCGGUUGAAGAAUUUUUGAGGGUUGUGACAUGUGCACAUGUUGUUCAAGGCUAUGGACUCACCGAAACCUGUGCGGGAUCUUUUGCUGCCAUACCAAAUGAAUUCUCCAUGGCUGGGACUGUUGGCCCACCAGUUCCACAUAUAGACGUUCGCCUUGAGUCAGUUUCAGAGAUGGGUUAUGAUGCUCUGGCUAGCAUUCCUCGUGGCGAGGUAUGCGUAAAGGGGAGUGUUCUGUUCUCUGGAUACUACAAAAGAGAGGACCUAACACAGGAAGUCCUGACUGAUGGAUGGUUUCACACAGGGGAUGUUGGUGAGUGGCAACCAAACGGAGCCUUGAAAAUCAUUGACAGAAAGAAAAAUAUAUUCAAGCUUUCACAAGGAGAAUAUGUUGCAGUGGAAAAUCUAGAGAAUAUCUACGGUGUUCUUCCAGAGAUUGAUUCGAUAUGGGUGUACGGGAACAGCUUUGAAUCUUUCCUUAUCGCUGUGAUAAACCCCAACCAACAAGCGCUUGAGAACUGGGCUGGACAGAAUGGAAUCACUGGAAAUCUGGAAGAAGUAUGCGAGAACACAAAGACUAAAGAGCAUUUUAUAGCAGAACUCGCAAAGGCUGCAAAGGAGAAGAAGCUGAAAGGGUUCGAGUUCAUAAGGGCCGUCCAUCUUGACGCGGUGCCGUUCGACAUGGAGCGCGAGCUCAUCACCCCGACGUACAAGAAGAAACGGCCGCAGAUGCUCAAGUACUACCAGGGAGCCAUCGACGCGCUGUACAAGAGCUCAAAAUAA